GAUGAACGCUGGCGGCGUGCUUAACACAUGCAAGUCGAACGGAGUAAUAUGAAGUUUUCGGACUAAUUAUUACUUAGUGGCGGACGGGUGAGUAACGCGUGGGUAACCUACCUCAUACAGGGGGAUAACAGUUGGAAACGACUGCUAAAACCGCAUAACAAGUUGAGACCGCAUGAUAUUAACUUCAAAUAUUUAUAGGUAUGAGAUGGGCCCCCGUCUGAUUAGCUAGUUGGUGGGGUAAAGGCCUACCAAGGCAACGAUCAGUAGCCGGCUUGAGAGAGUGACCGGCCACAGUGGGACUGAGACACGGCCCAAACUCCUACGGGAGGCAGCAGUGGGGAAUAUUGGACAAUGGGGGCAACCCUGAUCCAGCGACGCCGCGUGAAGGAAGAAGUAUCUCGGUAUGUAAACUUCUAUCAGCAGGGAAGAUAGUGACGGUACCUGACUAAGAAGCCCCGGCUAACUACGUGCCAGCCGCCGCGGUAA
rnacentral:rRNA from 1 species